rnacentral:rRNA from 1 species
UACGAAGGGGGCUAGCGUUGCUCGGAAUGACUGGGCGUAAAGGGCGCGUAGGCGGCGGACACAGUCAGAUGUGAAAUUCCCGGGCUCAACCUGGGGGCUGCAUUUGAUACGUGUUUGCUUGAGUGGGGAAGAGGGUCGUGGAAUUCCCAGUGUAGAGGUGAAAUUCGUAGAUAUUGGGAAGAACACCGGUGGCGAAGGCGGCGACCUGGUCCUUGACUGACGCUGAGGCGCGAAAGCGUGGGGAGCGAACAGG